rnacentral:rRNA from 1 species
UACGAAGGGUGCAAGCGUUACUCGGAAUUACUGGGCGUAAAGCGUGCGUAGGCGGUUUGUUAAGUCCGUUGUGAAAGCCCUGGGCUCAACCUGGGAAUUGCAGUGGAUACUGGCAAGCUAGAGUGCGGUAGAGGAUGGUGGAAUUCCCGGUGUAGCGGUGAAAUGCGUAGAUAUCCGGAGGAACACCAGUGGCGAAGGCGACUUCUGGCCUGUUCUUGACGCUGAGGCGCGAAAAGCUAGGGGAGCAACGGGGAUUAAGAUACCCUGU